CCUACGGGUGGCAGCAGUGAGGAAUAUUGGUCAAUGGGCGGAAGCCUGAUCCAGCCAAGUCGCGUGAGGGAUUAAGGCCCUAUGGGUCGUAAACCUCUUUUGUCAGGGAGCAAGGUCGUCCACGUGUGGGCGUAUGGAGAGUACCUGAAGACAAAGCAUCGGCUAACUCCGUGCCAGCAGCCGCGGUAAUACGGAAGGCCCGAGCGUUAUCCGGAUUCAUUGGGCUUAGAGGGAGAGUAGGCGGGCGAUCAAGGCAGCUGUAAAAGCGCGCGGCUCAACCGCGCCCCGCAGUUGAAACUGGAAGCCUUGAGUUCACAACAGGCAGGCGGAAUUCGUGGUGUAGCGGUGAAAUGCAUAGAUAUCGCGAGGAACCCCGAUUGCGAAGGCAGCCUGCCGGGGUGCGACUGACGCUGAGGCUCGAAGGUGCGGGUAUCAAACAGGAUUAGAUACCCGUGUAGUC
rnacentral:rRNA from 1 species